rnacentral:rRNA from 1 species
UACGAAGGUGGCAAGCGUUGUUCGGAUUUACUGGGCGUAAAGGGAGCGUAGGUGGUUAGGUAAGCCCUCCGGGAAAUCUUCAGGCUUAACCUGAAAAGGUCGGGGGGGACUGCCUAGCUAGAGGGCGGGAGAGGAGCGCGGAAUUCCCGGUGUAGCGGUGAAAUGCGUAGAGAUCGGGAGGAACACCGGUGGCGAAGGCGGUUCUCUGGGCCUGUACUGACGCUGAGGAGCGAAAGCGUGGGGAGCAAACAGG